AAGCAAGUUAUAAGAGCUUCCAAAUCACACACAGAAGAGAAAAUAGCACAGUCAGUAAAAAAGGGGGAUAAAACAUUUUUUAGAUACAUAAAUGAGAAAAGAAAAGUAAAACAAGGAUUAGUUAGAUUAAAAACAAAAGAAGGAAGGUAUGUAGAAGAGGAUGAAGGUCUAGCUGACUGCCUCAAUGAAUAUUUUUGUUCUGUAUUUACAGAUGAAAAUGAAGGAAAG